CCUACGGGAGGCAGCAGUGGGGAAUAUUGGGCAAUGGAGGCAACUCUGACCCAGCAACGCCGCGUGAAGGAAGAAGGCCUUAGGGUUGUAAACUUAUGUUGUAAAGGAAGAAAAGAAUGACGGUACUUUACAAGAAAGCCUCGGCUAACUAUGUGCCAGCAGCCGCGGUAAGACAUAGGGGGCAAGCGUUGUUCGGAAUUACUGGGCGUAAAGGGAGCGUAGGCGGGAGAUUAAGUUAAGAGUGAGAGCCUUGGGCUCAACCCAAGAAAUGCUCUUAAUACUGGUUUUCUAGGGUGGGAGAGGUAAGUGGAAUUCGUAGUGUAGCGGUAGAAUGCGUAGAGAUUAGGAGGAACAUCAGAGGCGAAAGCGGCUCUCUGGUCUGUAACUGACGCUGAGGUUCGAAAGCGUGGGUAGCAAACAGGAUUAGAUACCCGGGUAGUC
rnacentral:rRNA from 1 species